GUCGUCAGCUCGUGUCGUGAGAUGUUGGGUUAAGUCCGUAACGAGCGCAACCCUUGUCCUUAGUUACCAGCACGUUAUGGUGGGGCACUCUAAGGAGACUGCCGGUGACAAACCGAGGAAGGUGGGGAUGACGUCAAGUCAUCAUGGCCCUUACGGCCUGGGCUACACACGUGCUACAAUGGUCGGUACAAAGGGUUGCCAAGCCGCGAGGUGGAGCUAAUCCCAUAAAACCGAUCGUAGUCCGGAUCGCAGUCUGCAACUCGACUGCGUGAAGUCGGAAUCGCUAGUAAUCGUGAAUCAGAAUGUCACGGUGAAUACGUUCCCGGGCCUU
rnacentral:rRNA from 1 species